rnacentral:rRNA from 1 species
GGAUCUUCGGACCUGGCGCUAGUAGAUGAGCCCGCGUGAGAUUAGCUUGUUGGUGGGGUAAUGGCCUACCAAGGCAACGAUCUCUAGCUGGUCUGAGAGGACGAUCAGCCACACUGGGACUGAGACACGGCCCAGACUCCUACGGGAGGCAGCAGUGGGGAAUAUUGGACAAUGGGCGAAAGCCUGAUCCAGCAAUGCCGCGUGUGUGAAGAAGGCCUGAGGGUUGUAAAGCACUUUCAAUCGUGAAGAAAAGUUAGCAGGCUAAUACCCUGUGACCUUGACGUUAACGAUACAAGAAGCACCGGCUAACUCCGUG